rnacentral:ncRNA from 1 species
AUUCUGGUUGAUCCUGCCAGUAGUUAUAUGCUUGUCUCAAAGAUUAAGCCAUGCAUGUCUAAGUACACACGAAUUAAAAGUGAAACCGCAAAAGGCUCAUUAUAUCAGUUAUGGUUCCUUAGAUCGUUAACAGUUACUUGGAUAACUGUGGUAAUUCUAGAGCUAAUACAUGCAAUUAAAACAUGAACCUUAUGGGACAUGUGCUUUUAUUAGGCUAAAACCAAGCGAUCGCAAGAUCGUUAUAUUGGUUGAACUCUAGAUAACAUGCAGAUCGUAUGGUCUUGUACCGACGACAGAUCUUUCAAAUGUCUGCCCUAUCAACUUUUGAUGGUAGUAUCUAGGACUACCAUGGUUGCAACGGGUAACGGGGAAUCAGGGUUCGAUUCCGGAGAGGGAGCCUGAGAAACGGCUACCACAUCUAAGGAAGGCAGCAGGCGCGUAAAUUACCCACUCCCAGCUCGGGGAGGUAGUGACGAAAAAUAACAAUACAGGACUCAUAUCCGAGGCCCUGUAAUUGGAAUGAGUACACUUUAAAUCCUUUAACAAGGACCAAUUGGAGGGCAAGUCUGGUGCCAGCAGCCGCGGUAAUUCCAGCUCCAAUAGCGUAUAUUAAAGUUGUUGCGGUUAAAACGUUCGUAGUUGAACUUGUGCUUCAUACGGGUAGUACAACUUACAAUUGUGGUUAGUACUAUACCUUUAUGUAUGUAAGCGUAUUACCGGUGGAGUUCUUAUAUGUGAUUAAAUACUUGUAUUUUUUCAUAUGUUCCUCCUAUUUAAAAACCUGCACUAGUGCUCUUAAAGAGGAAUCCACCACAGUGGCG